UAAUUCUUAACACCUAUAAAGAUUCACCAUCACUUAGGAAUUUAAAAUUGGGAUGUCUUCUCUCUCUGUGUCUCUCUCUAGUGCACAGGUACUAGAUGUGAGGAAGGCUCUGGAUCUUCCCAGCACAGGAUUGCUUCAAUAAAACAUGAUUUGUCUUCCCUCUGUAAAUUCCUAAGGGUGGCUCAAUAGAAUCUGAGGAAGAGGAGAAGGAAAGGGGCACCAUCCCCUGGGAGAUAAGGAGAGGACACAGAAGGGACCUGUGGACUCUAAAUGACACCUAGCUGCAUGCUAGGCAUUUACCAUUCGGUCCUAAUUCCCAAGGUGGGUCUAAGGGUGGUUUUCCCCUCCUGAGGUAAUUGUUUUACUUUAUACUUCUACAUUAAUAAAGCCAAAUCUCUUAAAAAUGUCAUUGUAUUGGGGAAUUUUCCCAAUUGGUGCUACGUGCCUGUAGUCCCAGCUACUGGAGAGGCUGAGGCGGGAGGAUUGCUUGAGCCUGGGAGUUGAAGGCUGCAGUGAGCCAUGAUUGCAGUACUGCACUGAGGCUUGGAUGACAGAGUCAAAAACAAAACAGACAAAAAAACCCAGAACAGAACAUGUAAGGCUGCAGGGAUCGGGGGAAAGAAAAUGAGGGCUUACAUCUUCCAGAGCCAGUUUUCUGUUUUCUACAUCUCCAGGAACAGAAUAACUUUCAGUUCAAAAAGUACCUUUUGUGUAUAGCUUUGGGGGAAUUUUUUUUCCUUCAGCUUUUAAACAAAAGUUUCACCAUCAAUUGGCUGUUAGGAGGCU
rnacentral:lncRNA from 1 species